ACGGCUCAGUAACACGUGGUCAAUCUACCCUCAGGACGGAGAUAACCUCGGGAAACUGAGGCUAAUAUCCGAUAGAUAAUGGAUCCUGGAAUGGUUCAUUAUUCAAACGGCACAUUGCUCAUGCGCAGUGUGUCGCCUGAGGAUGAGACUGCACCCUAUCAGGUAGUUGGUGGGGUAAUGGCCCACCAAGCCUAUAACGGGUACGGGCCCUGAGAGGGGGAGCCCGGAGAUGGGCACUGAGACAAGGGCCCAGGCCCUACGGGGCGCAGCAGGCGCGAAACCUCUGCAAUGCGCGAAAGCGCGACAGGGCCACCCCGAGUGCUAGCCGCCGAGGUUAGCUUUUCCUUAGUGUAGUAAGCUAAGGGAAUAAGCGGGGGGCAAGCCUGGUGUCAGCCGCCGCGGUAAUACCAGCUCCGCGAGUGGUCGGGACGAUUAUUGGGCCUAAAGCGUCCGUAGCCGGCCUAUCAAGUCUCUGGUUAAACCUCAAGGCUCAACCUUGAGAUCGCUGGAGAUACUGUUAGGCUAGGGGGCGGGAGAGGUUGAGGGUACUUCGCGGGUAGGGGCGAAAUCCUAUAAUCCGCGAAGGACCACCAGUGGCGAAGGCGCUCAACUGGAACGCGCCCGACGGUGAGGGACGAAAGCCAGGGGAGCGAAGGGGAUUAGAUACCCCCGUAGUCCUGGCUGUAAACGAUGCGGGCUAGGUGUUGGGUUGGCUUCGUGCCAACCCGGUGCCGCAGUGAAGACGAUAAGCCCGCCGCCUGGGAAGUACGGCUGCAAGGCUGAAACUUAAAGGAAUUGGCGGGGGAGCAC
rnacentral:rRNA from 1 species